UACGUAGGGGGCAAGCGUUGUCCGGAAUCAUUGGGCGUAAAGAGCGUGUAGGCGGCCAGAUAAGUCCGCUGUGAAAUCUCGAGGCUCAACUUCGAGCUGUCGGUGGAAACUAUCUGGCUAGAGUCCGGAAGAGGAGAAUGGAAUUCCUGGUGUAGCGGUGAAAUGCGCAGAUAUCAGGAAGAACACCCGUGGCGAAGGCGGUUCUCUAGGACGGUACUGACGCUGAGACGCGAAAGCGUGGGGAGCGAACAGG
rnacentral:rRNA from 1 species